UACGUAGGGUGCAAGCGUUGUCCGGAAUUAUUGGGCGUAAAGAGCUCGUAGGCGGCUCGUCGCGUCGACCGUGAAAACCCGCGGCUUAACUGCGGGCUUGCGGUUGAUACGGGCGGGCUAGAGUUCGGUAGGGGAGACUGGAAUUCCUGGUGUAGCGGUGAAAUGCGCAGAUAUCAGGAGGAACACUGAUGGCGAAGGCAGGUCUCUGGGCCAUAACUGACGCUGAGAAGCGAAAGCAUGGGGAGCGAACAGG
rnacentral:rRNA from 1 species